UACGGGGGGGGCAAGCGUUGUUCGGAAUUACUGGGCGUAAAGGGUGCGUAGGCGGCUUUCUAAGUUGGAUGUGAAAACUAUGGGCUCAACCCAUAGCCUGCAUCCAAAACUGGAGAGCUUGGGUUCUGGAGGGGAAAGCGGAAUUCCUGGUGUAGCGGUGAAAUGCGUAGAUAUCAGGAGGAACACCGGUGGCGAAGGCGGCUCACUGGCCCGGUACUGACGCUGAGGUGCGAAAGCGUGGGGAGCAAACAGG
rnacentral:rRNA from 1 species